GACGAACCGUGCGAACGUUGUUCGGAAUCACUGGGCUUAAAGGGCGCGUAGGCGGCCCGCCGCGUCCGGGGUGAAAUCCUCCCGCUCAACGGGAGAACGGCCUCGGAUACGGGCGGGCUGGAGGGGGGUAGGGGCAGGCGGAACUGUGGGUGGAGCGGUGAAAUGCGUAGAUAUCGGGAAGAACACCAGUGGCGAAAGCGCUCUACUGGGCCAUAACUGACACUGAGGGACGAAAGCUAGGGGAGCGAAAGGG
rnacentral:rRNA from 1 species